rnacentral:SRP_RNA from 1 species
GCUGGGCGCAGUGGUGCAUGCCUGUAGUCCCAGCUGCUCGGAGGCUGAGGUGGGAGGAUUCUCUUGAGUCCAGGAGUUCUGGGCUGUAGUGCGCUAUGCCAGUCAGGUGUCCGCACUAAGUUCAGCAUCAACAUGGUCACCUCCUGGGAGCGGGGGACCACCACAUUGCCUAAGGAGGGGUGAACCGGCCCAGGUUGGAAACGGAGCAGGUCAGAACUCCCGUGCUGAUCAGUAGUGGGAUCGUGCCUGUGAACAGCCACUGCACUCCAGCCUGGGCAACAUGGAGACCCUGUCUCUUU